GGAAUCUUAGACAAUGGGGGAAACCCUGAUCUAGCCAUGCCGCGUGAGUGACGAAGGCCCUAGGGUCGUAAAGCUCUUUCGCUGGGGAAGAUAAUGACGGUACCCAGUAAAGAAACCCCGGCUAACUCCGUGCCAGCAGCCGCGGUAAUACGGAGGGGGUUAGCGUUGUUCGGAAUUACUGGGCGUAAAGCGCACGUAGGCGGGCUGUUAAGUCGGGGGUGAAAUCCCGGGGCUCAACCCCGGAACUGCCUUCGAUACUGGCAGCCUUGAGUUCGAGAGAGGUGAGUGGAAUUCCGAGUGUAGAGGUGAAAUUCGUAGAUAUUCGGAGGAACACCAGUGGCGAAGGCGGCUCACUGGCUCGAUACUGACGCUGAGGCGCGAAAGCGUGGGGAGCAAAC
rnacentral:rRNA from 1 species